rnacentral:lncRNA from 1 species
AGUGGCGGGCGUCUCGCGUCUCAGUACCAGGGACAUCACUGAGUCAUCUGUCGCUCUGUCCUGGACUCCACCUGCUGUGCAGUACAACACCUACCACAUCUCCUUCACCAGCAGGAAAGAAACGGAUCAGAAAAUAAGCUCCAAAAUCAAUGGCAGACUGAGCACCUACACUCAGAUUGGACUGGCCGCUGGACAGGAGUAUACAGUCAGCAUCACAGGAGAGAAAGAGGGCAUUAUGGGAACAGAGAGCACAGCAGAAUUCACCACAUUGAUCUCUGGCCCAAAAGACUUGCAAGUUGUGAAGACAUCCACUACAUCAGUCAUUGUCCAAUGGGAGAAGGCACAGGGGGAGAUUGACAGGUACGUCCUCUCCAUUGCACCCAAUCAGACAGAUGGACCAAGCAGACUUCCAGAGAUGAACCUGCCGCCAGAGAGGGAUUCAGCCCAGAUCGACAGCUUGGAGCCGGGCCGCUUGUAUAACAUCUCAUUAGUGGCGGAGAAAGAUAGCAUCCGGAGUCUGCCAGCAACCGCACAGGCAACUCCUGGGAAUGCCUCAGUGCCUGCGACCAGGAUGACCAUGGAUAUGGCGACUGUGCAGGUAGAUGUGGAGGCUGGUGACAACAAAGAAAAGACAUCAAGGUUCACAAACACAACACUUUUCCUGCGAAAGCAAGGACUGAGCAAAGGGGGCCAAGGUACAAAAGGAAAGGUUGAAAAUUCAGAAAGAACAGGGUAUAUGAGCCGACUCAAAACAGGCAUACCUGUAAGACCUGGGCAAAAAAGACCACUGCCCAUGCUUCCCAAACCCGGU